AAGGCACAACGACAAGCCCACGUGGAGCAUACCUCUCUGCAAUGAUCAGAGUUUUUACGCAAUGAAAAAUAAUUUACCCUUGUUGAAAGGAGCACAGGUGUGUUAAAGUUGCCACGUGGGUUGGUGUGUAACAAGCCUGAAAAUGACAUGCAGCAGCACCGAUCCAGACACUGAAUCAUAGUUCAAAGGGAAGUAACUGCUGGAGAGGAAGGAAACUGUACCGGGACAAGCCGAGGUUUCCGGGUGAUAUAAAGGCAGAUUUGUAGAUCUGCCGACGUGUGCGGAGUGGAAAUAUUCAGCGAUCGGAAAUAUAGACGGAGAAUGAAGUUUGUGAUAUUUGGUUCAACUGGCCCGAGUGGACUGCAGUUGGUGGACGAAUGUUUGCAGCAAGGCCACCAUGUUACUGCUUUAGUAAGGAACCCCGAGAAGAUGACAGUGAAACACGAGAAUCUUACGGUAACUAAAGUUGACCUGGCCAAGGAAGAUGAACUGGUGCCCCAUUUUACCGGAAAUGACGCAGUACUAUCAUGUCUAGGAGCUCAAGCGGGCAUCUGGGUGCCCUGCUCGCUGUACACCGACAGCAUCAAGACCAUAACAGGCGCCAUGAGAAAAUGCGGAGUCAGCAGAUAUGUGGGCAUGUCGGCAUGGGGUACCAAACAUGAUCCUGGUCUCCCCUGGAUCAUUAGGUGGGUUUUGCGUCCCCUGUUUUUGAGGAACAUCUUGCCCAAUAUGGCGGAGAUGGAAGACUAUCUCACCAACAGCUGCACCGACAUUGACUACACCGUCGUCAGGCCGCCGGGACUCUCAAACGAGGAAGCGUCAGGUAAGGAGGUGUUGACACAUCAAGGUCAGUAUGUCCCGGAAGCAACUUCAAGGAUUCCCCGCCGUGAUGUUGCAAAAUUCAUGUUGAAGUGUGUCAUCAACGGCGAAUGGAAAAAGACACACGUGGCCGUCGGCAUCAAGUGAGGCCACAGUGAGGCAUUUCAUCUCCACACUAUCCGGAUCUGACGUAACACGAACUUACAUCAAAUGGCAUUAUGGGAAAACGGAGUCACCAAAACCUGAAGCUGUUAUAGUUCAACAUGUAGCUUGUAGCACCACAAACACAAUGUAACCACUCACUUCCACACGGUUACGUAGUAAAUCAACGACACCACAUUUUCUAAAAUAUACCUUAGGGAAAAGGUGCAAUGCACCUUACAAGUAACCAUUGCUAAUAUUUUUAUUGUAUUUUACCAUUUGUAUUUGGGUUCAAACAUAUGAACAAAGUGUUUGCUGACGUGUUAUUUGUACUGAAAAAUGAUUAUCUUUUAUCCUUUUUGGAAGAAUAUGAGUACAUAUUGACGCCAUACCUCACUAAAAGCAGAUCUUUGUUCUGGGUACCGCGAAAACAUGAUAUGUGGUCAUCUAAUAACAGGGCAAAUCAGGACAACCUUGAGUGUACUUCGACCAAUGAAAUGACUGGAAGGUGACAGCAGCCAAUCCGAAUACAGCUUUUUUCGAGCUAUACGGAAAUUUUCAAAAUGGCGACUUCCAUUCCAGACGAGGCUUUUGACAAAAUUCUCGUUUCAAGAAUGUCUAAUAGGUGUCCUCUAAGCUUUGUGGGCGGUGGGGUAGUUUAAUUGUUUUUACAUGCAUUAAAAGCAUUUCAAUGACUGAAAUACUGCCAAUGGGGUGAGAAUUUUAACAAACUUUGUCACUUCUACUUUUCGAGACAAUCAUCGUCUUUUAUCUCAGAUACAGAGCAUAGUAACGUCCUUUUAUCACCAGUUCUUGACACUGGCAUUUGACAUUAUUACCUGUAUUUGAUGCAGGUAUCCGUCAAGAUGUUUAUUAAGGGAUGGUCGGUUUUUUAUAAAAGUAUUUCUUGUGGAAUAAAUGUUAUGAGAUAACUCAGACUUACCAUGAACAUUUGAUAUGGAGAAUAUCUCGAACAUAGUGGUUCUGGUAAUAUAUAUAUCAAUAUAUAUAUAUAUACA
rnacentral:misc_RNA from 1 species